UACAGAGGUCUCAAGCGUUGUUCGGAUUCAUUGGGCGUAAAGGGCGCGUAGGCGGCGCAACAAGUCACUUGUGAAAUCUCCGGGCUUAACCCGGAGCGGCCAAGUGAUACUGUCGUGCUAGAGUGCGGAAGGGGCUACUGGAAUUCUCGGUGUAGCGGUGAAAUGCGUAGAUAUCGAGAGGAACACCUGCGGCGAAGGCGGGUAGCUGGGCCGACACUGACGCUGAUGCGCGAAAGCCAGGGGAGCGAACGGG
rnacentral:rRNA from 1 species